AGUUGUGGAACAAGCCAUUAGUAAUAAUCACGUACAAUCAAAUGCACAUCAAAAAAAUAUUGGUCAAGAUGAAGACAUACAAGAUAUCGAAGGAAUUGUAGAGGAUUUGAAUGAAAAUGCUGAUAAUGAGGUUGAAAUGAAUAAAGGUAGUUUAUAUAUAAUAAUUUUUUGUUGUUUACACGUUGCAUUAUAUUUGGCUAUUAGAAUUACAUUGUGCUAAAAUUGGGAUUUUAUACAACGUUAAAUCAAAUAUGA